AAAUUGAAGAGUUUGAUCAUGGCUCAGAUUGAACGCUGGCGGCAGGCCUAACACAUGCAAGUCGAACGGUAACAGAAAGCAGCUUGCUGCUUUGCUGACGAGUGGCGGACGGGUGAGUAAUGUCUGGGAAACUGCCCGAUGGAGGGGGAUAACUACUGGAAACGGUAGCUAAUACCGCAUAACGUCGCAAGACCAAAGAGGGGGACCUUCGGGCCUCUUGCCAUCGGAUGUGCCCAGAUGGGAUUAGCUAGUAGGUGGGGUAAAGGCUCACCUAGGCGACGAUCCCUAGCUGGUCUGAGAGGAUGACCAGCCACACUGGAACUGAGACACGGUCCAGACUCCUACGGGAGGCAGCAGUGGGGAAUAUUGCACAAUGGGCGCAAGCCUGAUGCAG
rnacentral:rRNA from 1 species